CUGAAGCCCUGCUGAGUCAGAGUCCACAAAUCAAACAGCCCCUAGAAACCUGCCCUUCUCUGGCAGGGUUAGGGCUGAGACUGGGCCCUCAGACCAUUUGGAAUGACCAGUGAUUUCAGCUCUCACUCCCUUCUCAUCAGCACGUGUCUACAGUUGCAAUCCCAAUAUCAUCACCAGAUGAGAAUAUGUAUGGAUUCAUGAACAAGAAAAUUGCUUAACCAUUUGAUCAAGAGAGAUUGGAAAAUCAAGAUGAAGCAGGUCUGGGUGAAAGAGCUGUGAAUGGAUUAAUGGAACAGAAAGGAGGUGUGGAGAUCCUUCUAUUACAUGUUAAUGAUCACCAGGGAACAUCCACUACAAUAGAACAUCCCACUAAAUCACCAGUAGACACAAGAGAAUAUGUGGCCAGUUGACUUUGGCCAGCCUCUGUCAUUAGAUGUCAAUGUUCAAACAACGGUACAUGAAUGGCAUAGCCCUGGUAGCAGGAGUGGGGGCUAUGCAUGGAUCCAGCAAUACACACUCCCACUCCACAACAUUGACCCAGCCACCAAGGCUGACAAAAUAUUCAACCUUCCAGCAACAGAAACCAAGGAUGACCCUUAUCCCUGCCCAGGGGCAGCCUGCAUCCAACAACUUGUCAGCACAGGACUAUAAAGGCCUUACCCUUUGCCUCUGUGAAGCAUCCCACAGAGAGGUGCAUCCACCUCUGAAGGUACAUCCCAGCUUCAGGCUCCCAGUCACUUUGGGCUUACCCAGCCUCUUCGUCUGCCCUGCUUUUCUCCCUCCCCUUCCUUCCUGCAGGUUUGGAUCCUGAGAGCACUCCCUAAUAAACCUCAUGCCCACAAAUCUCUAUCUUGGAAUCUGCUUCUUCGGAACCAAAUCUGGGACAGAUCAAUUUACAAAGAUAGAAGGGUUUAGGAAGGCAAAAGGGUUUCUGUUACCAUGUCUAGGCCUGAAGGGACAAAGAGAGGAACUUGGAGCAAGAGCCAUAUGGAAAAAACAAUCUGAAAGAUUGUAGGGAUUCUGGCAGAAGCACAAGGCCAAGCCCUGGCAAUCCCCACCUCACAUCCCUCCGCUCUUUCAUCUCCCCUUAGUGCCUCCCAUUGUAGAACCAAACUGGAAGUGGUGGUCAGUGGAUUCCUUUGUCUGUUUCUUAUAGGUCAGCCUCCUGGGGCAGAGAGCAUGUUAGAGUGUGGAUUUGGAGGUGCAAAUGAAAGUUACCCUGUAGCCCACUUGACUCUGUAGAUUUCUUUUUCUCUUACAGAAAAUAAAUUAAAUUAUGUAUCUUCUUUAGAGAUAGGGUAUGACUUCUAUUUUGAGUUAUCUGUGUCAUUUAAUUAAUAUACAAAUAAAAUGACAUGACAGAAAAUACUUACUUGAAUACAAAGGACAAGUAAUUAGAUCUUAGAUAAUAAAUCCAUCCCUUUAGAUAAGACUUUAGGCAAAUGGAUUUAUAAGUAAAAGCAAUAGGAAAACUUGCUACCUAAGCAUGAAAAAUGAUGUUCCUGAUAAAUUCCUGGAAGGAAGCUGGUGUCAGCCCCCAACUCCUUUCUAGGCCUCUACCAGCCUAUAUUCCAAAUGGCCCUGCCAUGGCUCUUCUUUUCUUAAGAUUUGAUCUUUCUCCAGGCAUGGAUGAACCACAUGUAAGACAUUUAAACAGCCCAGGUGCCAAAUUUAGUAGGGCUUAGGAUUACACAACAUUCCCAAACCUGGGAUCUGAAGGGCCAGGUGCUGACCAACAGGAUCCCAAAUUCAUCCCAGGGGCUCUUUGACCGAUAACCAGAAUGUGAAUUCAACUGCUGGAUGACCCCAUGCAAAGCUCUCCCUGGCGCUGAGUAAUCCAGUUCCCUUUUCAUUAAAAGCCAUCUACUUUCCCAGGAGGGGGAAUCCUUCUGCACAGCCCAUUCCUAUGACUAAGCUCUGUGUUCACAAGGAAGAUCUCCUCUCAGUCCUGCUAUGCCCCCACUGCUGAGCUUGGAACCCCAAUACUAAGUAUAGCCUGUGUCACAAUUGUUCUUGCUGAGAUCUUCUACUAUUGCCUGAACACAACUCAUUCCUGAUCCCCUCUAGUGAGUAUGUCCCUGGCCAUUUUUCAGCACUUUUAUCCUCUUUUCUUGCUCUGAGUUUUCAUGGACAGGGUAUCUAGGAAAAGGAAAAGGAAGAAGGAAUAAAUCAAAUGCCUACAGACCUUCAAAGAGUGCUCCAAAGCCAGUGUAAAGCACUGGGGAACAGUGAGGAUUAGGGCAAAAUAUUUCUUAUAAUGUUCUGAGUUUCAUGAGUUGAAGGCUUUAGUGCUUAAUGUCCAAAUGAUGCAAAUGAAAACACCCUUUCAUUCUUCUUUUCCUUUUUAAAAAACAAGGAAGAAGACAGUCAAAGCCUCAGUCUAUACUAUAUUUACACUUGACUCAAAUGCAUUAAUAACAUUGUAGACUAAGGAGGUAUCUGGGGGAAAAAUAGUUUUGUGAUUUAACUGUAGUGCAAAUUUUACCUAGUAAAAGGUUUUUGAUAUUUAUCCUCAGAGAAGAUCUA
rnacentral:lncRNA from 10 species